ACCGACCUGGCUCACACCGGUUUAAACUCAGAUCAUGUAAAAUUUUAAAGGUCGAACAGACCUAAUUAAUAUAGCUUCUACACCAAUAAUUUAUUUUAAUCCAACAUCGAGGUCGCAAUCUUUUUUUUCGAUUAGAACUCUAAAAAAAAUUACGCUGUUAUCCCUAAGGUAAUUUAAUCUUAUAAUCUAAAACUUAGGAUCAUACUAAUUCAUAAACAAAUGUUUUCAUAUAAAAAAAAGUUUAUUAAAUUUUUCCAUCACCCCAACUAAAUAUUUUUAUCUAUAAAAAAACUUUAUACCCUUUAAACUCUUCUAUAAAUUAAAAUAUUAAACUCUAUAGGGUCUUCUCGUCUUCUAUUUAAAUUUAAGCUUUUUAACUUAAAAAUAAAAUUCUAAUAAAAUUUUAUAGAGACAGUUUUUUCCUCAUCAAACCUUUCAUACAAGCUCUCAAUUAAAAAACUAAUGAUUAUGCUACCUUUGCACGGUUAAUAUACCGCGGCCGUUAAAAAUUCACUGGGCAGGUCAGACUUGAAAUUAUUAUCAACAAGCCAUGUUUUUAAUAAC
rnacentral:rRNA from 1 species